GACGAACGCUGGCGGCGUGCUUAACACAUGCAAGUCGAACGGUAAGGCCCUUCGGGGUACACGAGUGGCGAACGGGUGAGUAACACGUGGGUGAUCUGCCCUGCACUUCGGGAUAAGCCUGGGAAACUGGGUCUAAUACCGGAUAGGACUCCGGACUGCAUGGUCUGGGGUGGAAAGCUUUUGCGGUGUGGGAUGGGCCCGCGGCCUAUCAGCUUGUUGGUGGGGUGAUGGCCUACCAAGGCGACGAGGGGUAGCCGGCCUGAGAGGGUGACCGGUCACACUGGGACUGAGAUACGGCCCAGACUCCUACGGGAGGCAGCAGUGGGGAAUAUUGCACAAUGGGCGCAAGCCUGAUGCAGCGACGCCGCGUGAGGGAUGACGGCCUUCGGGUUGUAAACCUCUUUCAGUAGGGACGAAGCGCAAGUGACGGUACCUACAGAAGAAGGACCGGCCAACUACGUGCCAGCAGCCGCGGUAA
rnacentral:rRNA from 1 species